rnacentral:rRNA from 1 species
GCUUGUCUCAAAGAUUAAGCCAUGCAUGUCUAAGUUUAAAUAGAAAACAGUGAAACUGCGAAUGGCUCAUUAAAUAAUUUUGCAUAUACAAGAUAGUCAACUCUACUUGGAUAACCGUAGUAAUUCUAGAGCUAAUACAUGCGAAAAGACCCGACUUUUUGGAAGGGUUGUAUUUAUUAGAUACAAAACCAAUGCGGAGCAAUCCGGUUUAUGGUGAUUCAUAAUAACUUUUGCGGAUCGCAUGGCCUUGCGCCGGCGAUGAAUCAUUCAAAUUUCUGCCCUAUCAACUUUCGAUGGUAAGGUAUUGGCCUACCAUGGUUACCACGGGUAACGGGGAAUUAGGGUUCGGUUCCGGAGAGGGCGCCUGAGAAAUGGCGACCACAUCCAAGGAAGGCAGCAGG